UGGGGAAUAUUGGACAAUGGGCGAAAGCCUGAUCCAGCCAUGCCGCGUGUGUGAAGAAGGUCUUCGGAUUGUAAAGCACUUUAAGUUGGGAGGAAGGGCAGUAAGCGAAUACCUUGCUGUUUUGACGUUACCGACAGAAUAAGCACCGGCUAACUCUGUGCCAGCAGCCGCGGUAAUACAGAGGGUGCAAGCGUUAAUCGGAAUUACUGGGCGUAAAGCGCGCGUAGGUGGUUCGUUAAGUUGAAUGUGAAAGCCCCGGGCUCAACCUGGGAAAUGCAUCCAAAACUGGCGAGAUAGAGUAGGGCAGAGGGUGGUGGAAUUUACUGUGUAGCGGUGAAAAGCGUAGAUAUAGGAAGGAACACCAGUGGAGAAGGCGACCACCAGGGCUCAUACUGACACUGAGGUGCGAAAGCAUGGGGAGCAAACAGG
rnacentral:rRNA from 1 species